rnacentral:rRNA from 1 species
GAUGAACGCUGGCGGCGUGCUUAACACAUGCAAGUCGAACGGUGAAGCAGGAGCUUGCUCUUGUGGAUCAGUGGCGAACGGGUGAGUAACACGUGAGCAACCUGCCCCUGACUCUGGGAUAAGCGCUGGAAACGGCGUCUAAUACUGGAUAUGUGAUGUGACCGCAUGGUCUGCAUCUGGAAAGAAUUUCGGUUGGGGAUGGGCUCGCGGCCUAUCAGCUUGUUGGUGAGGUAAUGGCUCACCAAGGCGUCGACGGGUAGCCGGCCUGAGAGGGUGACCGGCCAAACUGGGACUGAGACACGGCCAAGACUUCUACGGGAGGCAGCAGUGGGGAAUAUUGCACAAUGGGCGGAAGCCUGAUGCAGCAACGCCGCGUGAGGGAUGACGGCCUUCGGGUUGUAAACCUCUUUUAGCAGGGAAGAAGCGAAAGUGACGGUACCUGCAGAAAAAGCACCGGCUAACUACGUGCCAGCCGCCGCCGUAA